AAAAUAGAUAAAAAAUUAUCUCCUAGAUUUUCUAGAGCAUACAAUUGAACAAGCUCAUUAAAUUCCACUACAUCUUAACAUAAUAUGAAAUUUGAAUCACCAAUUAGAAAUGCAUAUUAUUUAUCAUCAAAUAACUCGUGGUGACUAAUUGUGGGUAAUAGUUAUUUUAAUAACACACUAUCAAUGUUAUUUUUCGGUAACUAUUACAAUCUCUAGUUC